rnacentral:rRNA from 1 species
GACGAACGCUGGCGGCGUGCUUAACACAUGCAAGUCGAACGGUAAGGCCCUUCGGGGUACACGAGUGGCGAACGGGUGAGUAACACGUGGGUGAUCUGCCCUGCACUUCGGGAUAAGCCUGGGAAACUGGGUCUAAUACCGGAUAGGACUCCUGGCUUCAUGGUUGGGGGUGGAAAGCUUUUGCGGUGUGGGAUGGGACCGCGGCCUAUCAGCUUGUUGGUGGGGUAAUGGCCUACCAAGGGGACGACGGGGAGCCGGCCGGAGAGGGUGACCGGGCACACUGGGACUGAGAGACUGCCCAGACUCCUACGGGAGGCAGCAGUGGGGAAUAUUGCACAAUGGGCGCAAGCCUGAUGCAGCGACGCCGCGUGAGGGAUGACGGCCUUCGGGUUGUAAACCUCUUUCAGCUAUGACGAAGCGCAAGUGACGGUAGUAGCAGAAGAAGGACCGGCCAACUACGUGCCAGCCGCCGCCGUAACAC